rnacentral:rRNA from 1 species
GCAAGUCGAGGGGUAACAUGAGAGCUUGCUCUUGAUGACGACCGGCGCACGGGUGCGUAACACGUAUUCAACUUGCCACACACUCAGGGAUAGCCUUUCGAAAGAGAGAUUAAUACCUGAUAGUAUAAUCAAUUCGCAUGUUUUGAUUAUUAAAGAUUCAUCGGUGUGUGAUGGGAAUGCGUUCCAUUAGAUAGUAGGUGAGGUAACGGCUCACCUAGUCUUCGAUGGAUAGGGGUUCUGAGAGGAAGAUC